rnacentral:rRNA from 1 species
AUACUUUUGUAUAUUGGGUAGGGGAGCGUUCUGUAAGCGGUUGAAGGUGUGUGGUAACGCAUGCUGGACGUAUCAGAAGUGCGAAUGCUGACAUGAGUAACGAUAAAGGGGGUGAAAAACCUCCUCGCCGGAAGACCAAGGGUUCCUGUCCAACGUUAAUCGGGGCAGGGUAAGUCGACCCCUAAGGCGAGGCCGAAAGGCGUAGUCGAUGGGAAACGGGUUAAUAUUCCCGUACUUCUUACAAUUGCGAUGGGGGGACGGAGAAGGCUAGGUGGGCCUGGCGACGGUUGUCCAGGUUCAAGUGUGUAGGCUUGAGAGUUAGGUAAAUCCGGCUCUCUUUAAGGCUGAGACACGACGUCGAGCAUCUACGGAUGUGAAGUCAUUGAUGCCAUGCUUCCAGGAAAAGCCUCUAAGCUUCAGAUUGUAAGGAAUCGUACCCCAAACCGACACAGGUGGUCGGGUAGAGAAUACCAAGGCGCUUGAGAGAACUCGGGUGAAGGAACUAGGCAAAAUGGUACCGUAACUUCGGGAGAAGGUACGCUCUUGAUGGUGAAGUCCCUCGCGGAUGGAGCUGACGAGAGUCGCAGAUACCAGGUGGCUGCAACUGUUUAUUAAAAACACAGCACUGUGCAAAAUCGUAAGAUGACGUAUACGGUGUGACGCCUGCCCGGUGCCGGAAGGUUAAUUGAUGGGGUUAGACUUCGGUCGAAGCUCUUGAUCGAAGCCCCGGUAAACGGCGGCCGUAACUAUAACGGUCCUAAGGUAGCGAAAUUCCUUGUCGGGUAAGUUCCGACCUGCACGAAUGGCGUAAUGAUGGCCACGCUGUCUCCACCCGAGACUCAGUGAAAUUGAAAUCGCUGUGAAGAUGCAGUGUACCCGCGGCUAGACGGAAAGACCCCGUGAACCUUUACUACAGCUUGGCACUGAACAUUGACCCUACAUGUGUAGGAUAGGUGGGAGGCUUUGAAGCACGUACGCCAGUAUGUGUGGAGCCGUCCUUGAAAUACCA